UGAUCAUGGCUCAGAUUGAACGCUGGCGGCAGGCCUAACACAUGCAAGUCGAACGGUAACAGGAAGCAGCUUGCUGCUUUGCUGACGAGUGGCGGACGGGUGAGUAAUGUCUGGGAAACUGCCUGAUGGAGGGGGAUAACUACUGGAAACGGUGGCUAAUACCGCAUAACGUCGCAAGACCAAAGAGGGGGACCUUCGGGCCUCUUGCCAUCAGAUGUGCCCAGAUGGGAUUAGCUUGUUGGUGAGGUAACGGCUCACCAAGGCGACGAUCCCUAGCUGGUCUGAGAGGAUGACCAGCCACACUGGAACUGAGACACGGUCCAGACUCCUACGGGAGGCAGCAGUGGGGAAUAUUGCACAAUGGGCGCAAGCCUGAUGCAGCCAUGCCGCGUGUAUGAAGAAGGCCUUCGGGUUGUAAAGUACUUUCAGCGGGGAGGAAGGUGUUGUGGUUAAUAACCGCAGCAAUUGACGUUACCCGCAGAAGAAGCACCGGCUAACUCCGUGCCAGCAGCCGCGGUAAUACGGAGGGUGCAAGCGUUAAUCGGAAUUACUGGGCGUAAAGCGCACGCAGGCGGUCUGUCAAGUCGGAUGUGAAAUCCCCGGGCUCAACCUGGGAACUGCAUUCGAAACUGGCAGGCUUGAGUCUUGUAGAGGGGGGUAGAAUUCCAGGUGUAGCGGUGAAAUGCGUAGAGAUCUGGAGGAAUACCGGUGGCGAAGGCGGCCCCCUGGACAAAGACUGACGCUCAGGUGCGAAAGCGUGGGGAGCAAACAGGAUUAGAUACCCUGGUAGUCCACGCCGUAAACGAUGUCUACUUGGAGGUUGUGCCCUUGAGGCGUGGCUUCCGGAGCUAACGCGUUAAGUAGACCGCCUGGGGAGUACGGCCGCAAGGUUAAAACUCAAAUGAAUUGACGGGGGCCCGCACAAGCGGUGGAGCAUGUGGUUUAAUUCGAUGCAACGCGAAGAACCUUACCUGGUCUUGACAUCCACAGAAGAAUCCAGAGAUGGAUUUGUGCCUUCGGGAACUGUGAGACAGGUGCUGCAUGGCUGUCGUCAGCUCGUGUUGUGAAAUGUUGGGUUAAGUCCCGCAACGAGCGCAACCCUUAUCCUUUGUUGCCAGCGGUUAGGCCGGGAACUCAAAGGAGACUGCCAGUGAUAAACUGGAGGAAGGUGGGGAUGACGUCAAGUCAUCAUGGCCCUUACGACCAGGGCUACACACGUGCUACAAUGGCGCAUACAAAGAGAAGCGACCUCGCGAGAGCAAGCGGACCUCAUAAAGUGCGUCGUAGUCCGGAUUGGAGUCUGCAACUCGACUCCAUGAAGUCGGAAUCGCUAGUAAUCGUGGAUCAGAAUGCCACGGUGAAUACGUUCCCGGGCCUUGUACACACCGCCCGUCACACCAUGGGAGUGGGUUGCAAAAGAAGUAGGUAGCUUAACCUUCGGGAGGGCGCUUACCACUUUGUGAUUCAUGACUGGGGUGAAGUCGUAACAAGGUAACCGUAGGGGAACCUGCGGUUGGA
rnacentral:rRNA from 2 species